AUUGAACGCUGGCGGCAUGCCUUACACAUGCAAGUCGAACGGUAACAGGCCGCAAGGUGCUGACGAGUGGCGAACGGGUGAGUAAUGCAUCGGAACGUGCCCAGUCGCGGGGGAUAACUGCUCGAAAGAGCAGCUAAUACCGCAUACGACCUGAGGGUGAAAGCGGGGGACCGUAAGGCCUCGCGCGAUUGGAGCGGCCGAUGUCAGAUUAGCUAGUUGGUGGGGUAAAGGCCUACCAAGGCAACGAUCUGUAGUUGGUCUGAGAGGACGACCAUCCACACUGGGACUGAGACCCGGCCCAGACUCCUACGGGAGGCAGCAGUGGGGAAUUUUGGACAAUGGGCGCAAGCCUGAUCCAGCAAUGCCGCGUGCAGGAAGAAGGCCUUCGGGUUGUAAACUGCUUUUGUCAGGGAAGAAAUCUUCUGGGCUAAUACCCCGGGAGGAUGACGGUACCUGAAGAAUAAGCACCGGCUAACUACGUGCCAGCAGCCGCCGUAACAC
rnacentral:rRNA from 1 species